GACGAACGCUGGCGGCGUGCUUAACACAUGCAAGUCGAGCGGAAAGGCCCUGCUUUUGUGGGGUGCUCGAGUGGCGAUCGGGUGAGUAACACGUGAGUAACCUGCCCUUGACUUUGGGAUAACUUCAGGAAACUGGGGCUAAUACCGGAUAGGAGCUCCUGCUGCAUGGUGGGGGUUGGAAAGUUUCGGCGGUUGGGGAUGGACUCGCGGCUUAUCAGCUUGUUGGUGGGGUAGUGGCUUACCAAGGCUUUGACGGGUAGCCGGCCUGAGAGGGUGACCGGCCACAUUGGGACUGAGAUACGGCCCAGACUCCUACGGGAGGCAGCAGUGGGGAAUAUUGCACAAUGGGCGGAAGCCUGAUGCAGCAACGCCGCGUGCGGGAUGACGGCCUUCGGGUUGUAAACCGCUUUCGCCUGUGACGAAGCGUGAGUGACGGUAAUGGGUAAAGAAGCACCGGCUAACUACGUG
rnacentral:rRNA from 1 species